UACAGAGGGGGCAAGCGUUAUUCGGAAUUAUUGGGCGUAAAGGGCGCGUAGGCGGCUUGGCAAGUGGAAGGUGAAAUCCCUCGGCUUAACCGAGGAACUGCCCUCCAAACUGCUUUGCUUGAGGCCGGGAGAGGUGAGUGGAAUUCCCAGUGUAGCGGUGAAAUGCGUAGAUAUUGGGAGGAACACCAGUGGCGAAGGCGGCUCACUGGACCGGUUCUGACGCUGAGAAGCGAAAGCAUGGGGAGCGAACAGG
rnacentral:rRNA from 1 species